UUACAGGCGUGAGCCACCGCACCUGGCCCAACUUUCUGUUUUUUUCAUUUCUGUAUGAUUUGAAAUUUCUCACUGUAUAAAUGGCAAGACAUGUUGCUGAAUGUUGAAGGAGCUAUUUCCAUGAUCAGAAAAAAAAAAAACAAAAAAAACCAACAGAAAAUAGUAGUAAUAGUAGCCAUUCCCCUGUCUAAGCAAUUCCUCUAGGCAAUGAUCCCAUUUCAUUGUGAGGUUAUUGUUUUUUCUUUGAUUACCUUUUUCUUUUGGGAAAAGUUACAAAGCCAGUAUGGGGAGUUCCCAUAUACCUCUCACAGUUUACCCACGGCUGGCAUUUUGACAUCACCAUGGGACAUUAGACAUGACUAAAACAACAGUGGUUCCUCACUAUUAACCAAACUCCAGACUUUAUAUUUGGAUUUUACCAGUUUCUCUACUAAUACCCAUUUUCUGUUCCAGGAUCCACUCCAGGGUUCCAGACCCGAUUUCCCCUGCUAGGAACAUCUUACACAAGGAGGGAGCCUGUGUCACAAUUAAUGAGCUGACAUGGAUCCCUUGUUAGUAACGACAGCCGGUGUUUCAUUCGGCUUUCCUUCAUUUUUCCCCAAUGUCCUUUUCUGUUCCAGGGCCCCAUGUCUCCUUAGGCCCCUCUGGGCUUGACUUUCCUUGUCUAGGAUCACCUUAACACUUUCAAGGAGUGCUGCUCAGAUAUUUUGCACAAUGGUGCAGAUGAGCAUUGCACUGCAGUGGUCAUUCCACUGGAACUUGUCUUAUGCCUUUCCCAUGUGUAAGACAUGGUGUUCCAUGUUUGGGGAGGAAGACUGCAGGGGAGAAGGGCCCCUCUGCUCGCUCUCUGUCCAGGGCACGUGCUCUCGAGAUGACCCAACGUGACCACCUGGCUGGGCAGCGUUCAUCAAUUUCCAGUCCUGCAGAGUUUCUCUUUCUUCCCUCUUGGCUGCUGUGCUCUUUGUGAAGAGGUCACUGUGCACAACCCCCGUGUACGGGACGGGCGACUGCACUCCACCUCUUUGAGAGCAGAGAAUCGACAUCGGUUAUUGGAAUUCUUUCUUUCCUCUCAUUUAUUUAUAGCAGCGUGGACUCAUGGAUAUUGUAUUCUCUGGGGUACAGCCCAGUACCACAGUAUGUGUUGCUCAGAUUGCCCCAGCUCUGGCCACAGGGGUUGGGGGGGCGGCUCUUUCAGUGGGCCCCUGUGUCCCUUUGACCUGCCCCUUCAUUGCGAGCCGCUGGGCACAUCCCUGGGUCCCAGCACUGCGAGAUGCUCCGGGCUCAUCGUGUGCAUUUCCUGUCCCAGACCUAGAGCCAGCCAUUUCUCCAAGGUUCAUGUUAUUGGAGGAGGGUGUUAGAAACCAAGAUCUGGGCGCUAGGUGUGCUCACGGCUACGGGGUGCUCUUGCUUCUUGGCUGUUUUCGCUGAUGGAGCAAGGAAAUCCGUGUGUGUGCUAAGCUGUGUAGGUGCACGUAUCUGUAAAUGCUUCUGUAUGUAAUCAUCCGUGUCGCUCAGCACGUGUUCAUACUGAGGUCUCCAACUCCGAUCCGUGGUAAUCACGUGGCGCCUCCCCCUGCUUAACCGUAACAGUGGGAAACCCAGGUCCUGCCACGACCGUGUAUUUAAUUGUUCCCAUCUAGUGUACGUGUAUAGCGGUUUUAGAGUUGCUAACCUUUGCCUCUGGCACUUUUCCAUCCAUUCGUUUGUUCAGUUACUAUCUGUCGACUGCCCUCUGUGCUGGGCACUGUUCUGAGCCCAGCAAACAAAAGAAAGAUCCCCGCCCUCAUGGAGUUUUUGUCCCAGCACGGGAGAUGGACAGACACCAAGCGUGAUAGAUAAGCACAUGGUAUAGUAUGUUGAAAGGAAAACAGAAAAAGUAGGGCAGGGCAAGGACAACUGGAGGUGGCUGGGGUGAGGAGCAGUUCAGGGUGAUCGGGGCAGGCCUUGUGGAGAAGGUGCAUCUGGCCAGAUCCUGAGAGCAGUGAGGGAGUUAGUCGUGAGGAUAUCAGGGAAGAGUGCGCCAGGCAGGGGUACAGCAUGUGCAAAGGCCCUGGGGUGGGGAUCUUCUGCUAUGUUCAAAUAACAGUGGGGAGGCCAAAGUGGGGGGAGCAGAGAGGAGAGGGGCGGUAGGAGAUGAGGUGGCAGAGGGGUUGGGGCCCACAUCGUGGAUGCCUUUGUCUGCCUUCUAAGGACUUGACUUUACUCUGAAUAAGAUGGGACUGUAAGAGUGGCAUUUGUUCUCUGUGUUAAGGGCCCCCCGCUGCUGCGCUAAGAAGAACGUCGGGGCAGAGGGGGUGGCGGGAGCCUAGCGAGGAGGCAGUGACUGUCAGCAGCAACAACAGAGAAUGAAAAAUAGAUGAGGAGACAGAGGAGACGGCGGGUUGAAAAAGAACCGAUAGACCAUGGAUCCCGGCGCACUUCUGCGACGCACGCGCAGCCGCAAGGUCCUCAAUACAGACACAAGCGAGAUGGUUCACGUUCCUCUCUCUGCACCAAGUCCUCUACAUGCCGGGUGUCUUUCGCCCUCACGGCACGUCCUGAUUCGGAUCCACCACUUGCAAGUCCUCAGCGGCCACCUGUGGCUCCUGGCUCUGCAGUGCACAGCGCAGCCCAGAUGACCUCACGUGGACGAGCAAAGGCUCAGCUGUGACAGACUCGUCUCAGCUCUGCUGGUGACAACUGCACAGUGGGAGCCAGCCUGGCUGCCCGCAAACUGGGGCCAGUCCCUGGGAACGCUGCGAGGGGCGGCUCCGAGGGCACCAGCGGGGAGGGUAGCCUCGGCCAGUUUCUGAGAACUGCUUUGCACUUUAAAACCCAUGAAGGGAAACAUUCCUUUUGAGUGUAGUUAUUUAUUUAAAUGAAUGGACUUUAUUUUUUUAGAACAGUAUUAGCUUUACAGAGAAUACCCAGAAGUCCGCUUCUCCCUCUGCCUCAGUUUCCCCUAUUAUUAACAUCAGGCAUGAAUGUGGUUCAUGUGUUACAAUUGAUGGAUCAAUAUUUUUUUUUUUUGAGACAGAG